rnacentral:rRNA from 1 species
AUUUGCGCCGAAGGUAUACCGGUAAGGAGUGCUGGAGCGAAUAGAAGUGAGCAUGCAGGCAUGAGUAGCGAUAAUUAAUGUGAGAAUCAUUAACGCCGUAAACCCAAGGUUUCCUACGCGAUGCUCGUCAUCGUAGGGUUAGUCGGGUCCUAAGUCGAGUCCGAAAGGGGUAGACGAUGGCAAAUUGGUUAAUAUUCCAAUACCAACAUUAGUGUGCGAUGGAAGGACGCUUAGGGCUAAGGGGGCUAGCGGAUGGAAGUGCUAGUCUAAGGUCGUAGGAGGUUAUACAGGCAAAUCCGUAUAACAUACUCCGAGAACUGAAAGGCUUUUUGAAGUCUUCGGAUGGAUAGAAGAACCCCUGAUGCCGUCGAGCCAAGAAAAGUUUCUAAGUUUAGCUAAUGUUGCCCGUACCGUAAACCGACACAGGUGGGUGGGAUGAGUAUUCUAAGGCGCGUGGAAGAACUCUCUUUAAGGAACUCUGCAAAAUAGCACCGUAUCUUCGGUAUAAGGUGUGGUUCGCUUCGUAUUAGGAUUUACUCCGAAAGCGAAGAAACUUACAACAAAGAGUCCCUCCCGACUGUUUACCAAAAACACAGCACUCUGCUAACUCGUAAGAGGAUGUAUAGGGUGUGACGCCUGCCCGGUGCUCGAAGGUUAAUUGAUGGGGUUAGCAUUAGCGAAGCUCUUGAUCGAAGCCCGAGUAAACGGCGGCCGUAACUAUAACGGUCCUAAGGUAGCGAAAUUCCUUGUCGGUUAAAUACCGACCUGCAUGAAUGGCGUAACGAGAUGGGAGCUGUCUCAAAGAGGGAUCCAGUGAAAUUGUAGUGGAGGUGAAAAUUCCUCCUACCCGCGGCAAGACGGAGAGACCCCGUGGACCUUUACUAUAGCUUGACACUGCUAUUUGGAUAAAGAUGUGCAGGAUAGGUGGGAGGCUUUGAAGCUAGGACGCCAGUUCUAGCAGAGCCAUUGUUGAGAUACCACUCUUCUUUAUUUGGGUAGCUAACCAGCUUGAGUUAUCCUCAAGUGGGACAAUGUCUGGUGGGUAGUUUGACUGGGGCGGUCGCCUCCCAAAUAAUAACGGAGGCUUACAAAGGUUGGCUCAGAACGGUUGGAAAUCGUUCGUAGAGUAUAAAGGUAUAAGCCAGCUUAACUGCAAGACAUACAAGUCAAGCAGAGACGAAAGUCGGUCUUAGUGAUCCGGUGGUUCUGUGUGGAAGGGCCAUCGCUCAAAGGAUAAAAGGUACCCCGGGGAUAACAGGCUGAUCUCCCCCAAGAGCUCACAUCGACGGGGAGGUUUGGCACCUCGAUGUCGGCUCAUCGCAUCCUGGGGCUGGAGCAGGUCCCAAGGGUAUGGCUGUUCGCCAUUUAAAGCGGUACGCGAGCUGGGUUCAGAACGUCGUGAGACAGUUCGGUCCCUAUCUGCCGUGGGCGUAAGAAGAUUGAAGAGAUUUGACCCUAGUACGAGAGGACCGGGUUGAACAAACCACUGGUGUAGCUGUUGUUCUGCCAAGAGCAUCGCAGCGUAGCUAAGUUUGGAAAGGAUAAACGCUGAAAGCAUCUAAGCGUGAAGCCAACUCUAAGAUGAAUCUUCUCUAAGCUCUCUAGAAGACUACUAGUUUGAUAGGCUGGGUGUGUAAUGGAUGAAAGUCCUUUAGCUGACCAGUACUAAUAGAGCGUUUGGCUUAUCUUUAAUAAAGCAU